AAACGAUAACAGGAGGAGAAGGAACGCCCAUUGAAAUCUUCUUUUGUUUUUGUUUUUGUUUUUGUUUUUUGUUUAGUGCAUUGUCUUAGCAAUGUUGGACCAUGACUUGUUAUCAGCCAUCCAAAGAAGUGACUUGCACUGGCUUGAGGCAAAUGCAAGCCAAUUGAGUGCAGAUUGGCGGAAGUUUGUCCACAGCAAGUCCGGAGAUACAGCACUUCAUGUUGCAGCUUCAGCUGGCUGCACACAAGUGUUGGGAUGGCUCCUGUCUCAAGGUUGUGAUCGAUGCCUAGAGCAGCAGAAUGCUGAUGGAAAGAGGCCUUUGCACUGUGCAGUUCAGGCAUCACACUUGCCCAUUGUCAAAAUUCUUCUGGAUCAUGGAGCAACAAUUGACCCCCUUAAACGAGCUGACUGGACGCCACUGAUGCUGGCAUGCACGAAACGAAACCUCCAGGUCAUCAGGCACCUAAUUGAGAAUGGGGCAAAUCUGCGCCUGGAAAACAAAGACGGCUGGACCAGCUUCCACCUUGCUUGUAGAGAGGGUGACAAGGAAAUUGUUAACUACCUGUUGGAUGUGGAUGGGUCAGUGUGGAACAAUGUCACUAAAAAUGGCAGAACUCCCUUACACACAGCAGCUAUGCAUGGAAAGGAAGUCGUCAUAGGGAUCCUGUUAUCACGAGGAAACUACAGCACAGAUGAAGCUGAUGCCUGUGGGAACACGCCCCUGCUUGAGGCAUUACGUAUGGGCCACAGGAACAUCGCUGAGCUACUGAUAAUGGAACACAAUGCCAGUGUGUAUGCCAAGGACAAGACUGGACGCAUGGGGAUCCAUGUGGCAGCAGAAGCUGGGCAGGCGGAAGUGGUGGAGUUCCUCUUAGGAAGCCAUGGAGUUGAUGUCAAUCUGCUCUCUGAAACAGGCUUAUCUGCAAUGCAUAGUGCUGCAAAAGAAGGCCACACAGCACUGGUAGAAAUGCUGGCAGAACAGGGCUGUAAAGUUAAUACACAGGAUGAAAAUGGAAGGACAGCUCUCUGGCUUGCUUGCAGUGCUCGGAGAACAGCCUGUGUAAAGGCGCUGCUGAAGCUUGGGGCGCAAGACAUUGGUGAUAAGAAUGGUAUUCUGCCCUCCCAGCUGAUGCCAUUUUGAAAUAAAGCAAUAAUGGUUCAGAACUUCAGAGAUAUGAGUUGCUUGUCUCUGCACAUUGUAUUCAGUUUGAAGUAAUUUUCAGAAACUAAAUUCCAAGGAUCACUAAUCAGUAAAUACUAGAAAUUGAAAAUGGUGUUUACUCUGCUUUGUUACGGACUGCCUGUACACUAUGAGGUAACUGAGGUGUCCAGGAAAAUCCAGGAAAGGAUGAUUAUGUAAGCAGGCAGAUGAUGAUGAAACUGGAAAUAGAAGAUGGGGGGGGGGGAAGAGAGGGAAACAAAAGAGAGGGGAGGCAGUCCACAUGAUCUGUAACCCCAUAUGACAUGAGAAGAGCUGCUGAAGAAGGACGCACACAAGCACAUACAUACAUACAUACAUACAUACAUACAUACAUACAUACAUACAUACAUACAUACAUACAUACAUACAUAUAUACAUACAUAUAUACAUACAUAUAUACAUACAUAUAUACAUACAUAUAUACAUACAUAUAUACAUACAUAUAUACAUACAUACAUACAUACAUACAUACAUAUUAUUGCAACUAUUGUUAGCUUUGUUAAUUUUUUACUGUAUAUUGUCAUAUAGAUAAUAACAAAAAGUGAAAACUAAUGUUUUGUUUAACAGAAAACUAAUAUGUAACUGAAGACUAAUCUUUUAGAAAACUAAUAUUCUAUAUAAAACAG